rnacentral:rRNA from 1 species
GAUGGCUCAGUGAGGCCUUCGGACUGGCUCAGGAGGGUUGGCAACGACCCCCCAGAGCCGGAAAGUUGGUCAAACUCGGUCAUUUAGAGGAAGUAAAAGUCGUAACAAGGUUUCCGUAGGUGAACCUGCGGAAGGAUCAUUACCGAGUGAGGGCCCUCUGGGUCCAACCUCCCACCCGUGUUUAACGAACCUUGUUGCUUCGGCGGGCCCGCCUCACGGCCGCCGGGGGGCAUCCGCCCCCGGGCCCGCGCCCGCCGAAGACACCUGUGAACACUGUCUGAAGUUGCAGUCUGAGAAACUAGCUAAAUUAGUUAAAACUUUCAACAACGGAUCUCUUGGUUCCGGCAUCGAUGAAGAACGCAGCGAAAUGCGAUAAAUAAUGUGAAUUGCAGAAUUCAGUGAAUCAUCGAGUCUUUGAACGCACAUUGCGCCCUCUGGUAUUCCGGAGGGCAUGCCUGUCCGAGCGUCAUUGCUGCCCUCAAGCACGGCUUGUGUGUUGGGCCCCCGUCCCCCCGCCAGGGGGGACGGGCCCGAAAGGCAGCGGCGGCACCGCGUCCGGUCCUCGAGCGUAUGGGGCUCUGUCACCCGCUCUUGUAGGCCCGGCCGGCGCCAGCCGACCCCCCUCAAUCUAUUUUUUCAGGUUGACCUCGGAUCAGGUAGGGAUACCCGCUGAACUUAAGCAUAUCAAUAAGCGGAGGAAAAGAAACCAACCGGGAUUGCCCUAGUAACGGCGAGUGAAGCGGCAAGAGCUCAAAUUUGAAAGCUGGCCCCCUCGGGGUCCGCAUUGUAAUUUGCAGAGGAUGCUUCGGGAGCGGUCCCCAUCUAAGUGCCCUGGAACGGGCCGUCAUAGAGGGUGAGAAUCCCGUAUGGGAUGGGGUGCCCGCGCCCG